CCUGCAAAGCGUGUUUGUGAUGCUCAUCUCUGAAUGAUGCAUAGUGUCUGCCUGCCUCCUAUUAAAAAAAAAAAAAAAUGGUAUGAACAGCGGCUGGCAGGCAGACUGGUCAGCAGUGAUUCAUUCCCUGGCAGCCAUGAUGAGCAGCAUAGGCUAAAUUCAGCCUUGGUGGAGGUGGGUAUUUCUCCAUUUCCUUUCACGGCAUCGUAUCUACGUUACAUCAGGUAUCAAGGGAAAAUGGCUAGCAGUGAGUUCUGUAGCUUUUCCUGCUCUGCAGCCCCUCUGGCUUAGCCAGCUGGAUCACACUGAAUUAGUCAAGUACUUCAUUAUCUCCCUUCUCUGCACAUUUUGCUCCAGAUUCCUUUGCAGGACUGGAAGUCAAACUAGGGCUGGAAGAUACCACCUGGGUCAUCGGAGACGCAGAGGUUAGAAGGAUCACCUACAAGAACCACAGUUCCCCAUGCACACCACAUGCUGUAAGACACCCGCAACGCCUCUCCUCCCUGCAUCCCAUAAUCAACUCUGGAGAUCAACUACGAAAGACCAAGCUCCUCAAAACAAAGCUAUGUUUUGCUGCAGUCUCUUCCUUUUCAGGACUUCAACUUUAGGCAGAACUUUGCCUGCCGAGAGGCGAUUUUCUAUCUUAGCACGCCGUGGCUGCUCCUUUUGGAUAUGGUUCUUCGUUCUUCCAUAUUUGUUGGUUUCUUAAGUAAGACUUAAGUUUUAUUCCAAUUAUAUGGCAAGCCCCAGGGCUCAAUUCAGAUAAGCAUGCUUCUGUUCCGGUGCCAAAAAAAACAUCCUUUUUUUUUUCUUGCAGCCAUCAUAAACCAGUCACCCUAGAAAAACCAGCUCUUUGUUCUUGGGGAAACAACUAUUGUCAGAAUAUUUUACAUGUAAAUGAAACAUGGGAGCUCAUCUUCCUCUUUUAUUUGUCAUUGCAAGCUUCCCCCAUUUACCAUUCUGCUCCGAUUUUCCCAUUUAGCAGUGUAUGGAAUCUGCAAUAGUGCAUAUUGUAAUAUGCAAAUUGUAUAUAGCAUUUUGGUGUCAGACACACUGAAAUUAAAUCAAAUGGAAGAAAAAAAAGGAAAGAGAGUGUAAUAAAGGUACCUUUAUGGCCUCAAGCUGUAGAUAAAUUGUGGUCUGUGGUAGUUAAACAACAGCUGUUCAGAUUUAAAACAAAAUUAUGAUAAGGAUCCCCAGAAGAUAACACCUCUUGAGGUAACAGCAUUUACCUAAAUGCAUCUGUUAGCAGCAAACACCGUGACUUAAGACUGUUUAUGUGAUAGUUUAUUCCCAUUUGUUUUCCUUCUCCUUCCCUCC